rfam:TPA: Bos taurus chromosome 2, whole genome shotgun sequence.
UCCCUCGUAGCUGAAAAGGUAAAGAAUCUGCCUGCAAUGCAGAAGACCUGGGGUCGAACCCCGGGUCGGGAA